rnacentral:lncRNA from 1 species
CUGACAUUCCAGGAGGGGACCUGCGGGACACUCCCAGGCCACGAGCAGGCCUCCCUGGCUGUCCUCCCGCUGGAACGGCCUCAGCGGCCCGUCGGGGGGGACCGGCGAUCGCGGCCAAGCCUAGGAAGCUCGCCUGCAAGGGGGGGACAGGCGGCCGGGCCUGUAAAGUUUAGGACACAAGUGGGGACGGCGCGCGCUCCUGGCUUACAGGAUCCCGCAGGAACUCUGGAUCGCCCUGCAAUAAAAACACGGAGCAUCCUGUUCGCGGCUGAGAAGGGCUUUGAGGGUCUCCCGGGGGGCGGCUUUGAAAGGCUGCCCAAACCGCGGCCCUGAUCGCCGAGGCGCGUGGCUGACGAGCGCGCAAAGCCUGCCCGGGCCCCGCGCUCUCCCGGACCCCACGCGGGGUGAAGAGUGUCCCUGCGGAGAGCCGCGCUGCUUCCCCCCUCCCCGGCCUGCCCCCUGCGGGCAGGUGUCCCACCAUCCGGGAGGACGUCCGUUUGCACAGCAGCCUCCAGCGGCUGGACACCCAGGGCACCGCGGGAUGCUCUUCGCCCCGGAAUUUUGGCAAAAGGGUGUGCACGUUGCCGUGAUAAUCAUGUUUUACAUUCAUCACGCUGCUUUCAUCCAGAUGGGUUUAAGCAUUCUACAAGCUUUAUUAAGUAAGUAGAACAAGUUAUAACAGUUGAACUUGUCUAUCAUGGAGCGUGGUUUCUGGGUGAAUCAUGGUUUUUUGUUUUUUUGUUUUGGCCACACACAGCAAUGGGGUAUCGAUCAGGGACGGCGUGGAGCCGAGGGUUUCAGCCGAGCCUCCGGGAGGCCAGGCUUUGGUCUGAACUGGAAGAGCACAAAGGCCAGCGGUGUCCUGUGGUGCGCGGAGCGCGCGAGGGCCAAGAAUCCAGCGGAACAUCUCACACGUGGUGGGCAUUCAAUACCAUGUACCGAAGAAGGAAUGACUGAGGGACUUGGUACGUGGAUGAGUGUGUACAAGAGGGAGCCCAGCAUGGGAGUGGCUCAGAGGGUGGAUUCUGGAGUCUGACUCUUGGGGCAGCUUCUUCCUCCACGGUGUGCACACAAAUCACCUAGCAUCGUAUCAAAAGGCAGAUUCUGAUUCAGUGGGUCUUAGUGGGCCCCAAGACUCUGUGUUUCCAACAAAUUUCCACAAAACAUGGCUUCUGUUGGUUGAAGACUGGGCUUGGAGAGGUAAGGUGCCCAAGAUCAAAUCUUACCACGUCUACUGCCUGCUACAUAGACAACAUCAUGUGGAUUGUUUGACCUCUUUUGACCUUGGUUUCAUUAUCAAGUGAGAAUAACCAUGAUAGCACCUCCCUCAGAAGACCAUGGCAAGGAUUAAGAAUGAUGGUGAACGUUCCUGCACAUAGUAAGAGUUGAUCCAUAAUCAUAUGUUGAUACCUUCUCAUGGCUAUAAUAAACAAUAGUUAUUCCUGUUAUUGCUUACUUUUCUUUUUUUUUUUUAAUUUUAUUUAUUUAUUCAUGAGAGAUACAGAGAGAGGCAGAGACAUAG